ensembl:lncRNA
GCGCAGGCGGCGGCGGCGGUGGCGGCCGUGGUUGGAGUCCUGCGCCCGGCGCCCGCUGGCCGCCGGAACGCGACCGCCUGAGCUGAGCGGCGGCCGGCCGCGGUGGUGCUCGCGGGAGAGAUGAAAGUAGUGAAAGUCUGUCAGUGACCUGAGCAAGCACCAACAUGACCACAAGAUGUCCCAAGAGCAUGAGUUCUGAUGUGUUUUGCUGGAAGUUCAGAAGCUCAGACACAGCCUGUGUGGUGAAAGCCUCUGAGCAUGAGAAAGAUGUGUAGGAAAGAGUUAAAAAGUACUGAGUGCUCAGCUGUCCUGCAAUGGCCUUCAUGAGGAAGAACUGUUGGAACCAGCCUGAGACCAAUGGCAGUCUAUGCAAGACUACUCCAUAAGAAACAAAAAUUUGUUCAAAAGACUGAAUAUUGAGCUUACAUGCAGUUAACAGGAAAUGCUUUUAACUGUAUUGGGGCAGUAUCUGGUAAUGUUUGUAUAGGGAAAAACAUAAAGAUUUAUAAUGUUUCUGUUCUUAGAAUUUCUAUCUUCGCUAAGCUAUAGAAGCAGUUGCUUCUGUUUGACAGCUCUGACUCCCUCCGUGUUGUUUUUGGUUCAGUCCACCCCUUUGGAAUAAAUAAAAUGUAUGAGCUAUUAAGUGGAUGGGAGGUGAUCACUGAAACGGUGCUUUCUUGUAGUACUUGGAGAUUGGGUUAGCUGAGACUUGUAUUCUGGUGAGGAAAAGCAGAAAUUGAAGUUCAGCAUAUAUGGGUUUAAAAAUAGGAGGAAAGGUACUUCUCCCAAUAUUGAAAACUGCAAGCUUGGGUUUAUUAUUACCUUUAUCAGCUGCAUAAUAUGGUACUUUAAUGAAACUUGAAAUAGAGUGAAAUACUGUAAGGAUAAAAACUGGAAUUCCUGGGUGGUUUUUCAGGAAGACUUACGAUAAAUGUAUUUUGUUAGAAGAGCAAGUGCUGAAAUUACCUACCUUGCACUGUCUGAUUUUUUUCAAUACUGAAUGCACAUAAAUUGCUAAUGCAAAGUAAAAGCAUAAGGUUUUGGUUUGUCAUGAGGGAAGGAUGUUUGGACAAGAGUAAUUCAUUUUUUAGCAAUCCAACAUGUAAUUACUGGAUGCACUUAAAAGUUUAGGGCUUCUGUUAGGGAUUAUAUUCCCUGAAGAUACCAUCUGUUCAGCAGUGGUGCUCAUGGGUCUUUGUUCUUAAAGUGCAAGACUGGCAGGAGUAGCUUUUAAGACUUUCAACUCUCGAGAGCAGCAGCUAAUGCCUAAUGAUGGCUGUCUAAAAUGUUAAUUCCUUUUCAGCAAAAAAACUAGAAUCUUAAGCUUCGGUGUGUAAUACUGGUUUCAUUGUAUGGUGAAACAAAAGAAAAAAAGUGAGGUAGAGGGAGGAACAGAUAGAUAUAAGGGGCACCAAUUACUAAAAUGGUAAUGUUCGUAAACAUUUAGUAUGGUUUUUAGCAUUAGGACUGUCUUUUAGUUUUUAUGAGUGGAUAACUGGUCUGUACACUUGAAAAAAACCUCAAGACUCCUUCAUUUUUUUCCCCCCUUCCUGUGUUUUAAUGAACACAAUGUCUGAUAGACUGUUCAAAUUGAUAGUAUUAAAAAGUAGAAAGGAGGACAUAUUCUGAGGUGGUCUAGGGGAGUGGUUUUCUUCACUCUUCUGUUGGGUCUGGCUGCAGUGGAGUUAAUUUUCCCCACAGCAACUCUCACAGUGCUGUGCUGUGUAACAGAUGAUAACACUCUAGUGUUCUGGCUGCUGCACCAAGGCUGUCUCUCCAGUGUUCCCCCCUCACCAGGACGAUGGGGGCAAGCAAAAUCUUGGGAAGGGACACAGCCAGGACAGCUGACCCCAACUGGCCGAAGGGAUAUUCCAUACUGCAUGAUGUUGGCUUAGCAAUAAAAGCUAAGAGAAAGGACUGGGGGGCAGCAUUUAUUAUUAUAAAGUUUGUCUUCUAGAGCAACCACUACAUGUACUGAAGCAGUACUUCCCAGGAAGUGGCUGGACAUCACUUGCUGAGGGGCUGUAGAGAAUAAAUCUUUUGUUUUCAUUUGC